rnacentral:rRNA from 1 species
GUAGGUGGCAAGCGUUGUCCGGAAUUAUUGGGCGUAAAGCGCGCGCAGGCGGUUCUUUAAGUCUGAUGUGAAAGCCCACGGCUCAACCGUGGAGGGUCAUUGGAAACUGGAGAACUUGAGUACAGAAGAGGAAAGCGGAAUUCCACGUGUAGCGGUGAAAUGCGUAGAGAUGUGGAGGAACACCAGUGGCGAAGGCGGCUUUCUGGUCUGUAACUGACGCUGAGGCGCGAAAGCGUGGGGAGCAAACAGGGAUUAGAUACCCUGGUGGUCCACGCCGUAAACGAUGAGUGCUAAGUGUUAGGGGGGUUUCCGCCCCCUUAGUGCUGCAGCUAACGCAUUAAGCACUCCGCCUGGGGAGUACGGCCGCAAGGCUG